UCUUAUGGACGAGCAAAGAAAGUGAUUUCUUGAGAUGGAAUGUGCUUCUGGUAAAGAUGCUGUGAA
rnacentral:pre_miRNA from 1 species